AAAAUUGAGGACAUACUUACCUGAUCAUGAAGGUGGUUUUCCCAGGGCGAGUCUUAUUCUUUGCACUCGGAUGUGCUGACCCCUGCGAUUUCCCCGAAUGUGGGAAACUCUACUGCAUAAUUGUGGCAGGGGGGACUAUGUUCAUGCUCACCCCUG
ensembl:snRNA U1 U1 spliceosomal RNA